UUUUGGAUAGCUCAGUUGGUAGAGCAGGAGACUCUUAAUCUCAGGGUUGUGGGUUUGAUUCCCACAUUGGGCUAAAAG